ACGAGAAAGUGGAGCAAUCCAUGAGUACAGUGGCGUACGGGUGAGUAACACGUGACUAACCUACCCUCGAGUGGGGAAUAACUUCGGGAAACCGAGGCUAAUACCGCAUAACAUCUUCUGGUUGAGAUACCGGUUGAUCAAAGCAGCAAUGGGCUUGAGGAGGGGGUCGCGGCUGAUUACCUAGUUGGUGGGGUAACGGCCCACCAAGGCGAUGAUCAGUAUCCGGCCUGAGAGGGCGCACGGCCACACUGGAACUGAAACACGGUCCAGACUCCUACGGGAGGCAGCAGUGGGGAAUUUUGCGCAAUGGGGGAAACCCUGACGCAGCAACGCCGCGUGGAGGAUGAAGUCCCUUGGGACGUAAACUCCUUUCGAUCGGGACGAUUAUGACGGUACCGGAAGAAGAAGCCCCGGCUAACUUCGUGCCAGCAGCCGCGGUAAUACGAGGGGGGCAAGCGUUGUUCGGAAUUAUUGGGCGUAAAGGGCGCGUAUGCGGUGCGGUAAGUCUGAUGUGAAAUCUCCGGGCUCAACUCGGAGUCUGCAUCAGAAACUGCCGUGCUU
rnacentral:rRNA from 1 species